UCUGGUGACGAUGGCGAAGUGGUUCCACCUGU
rnacentral:rRNA from 1 species